AGGGAAGUAAGAACAGCUUUUUAAAAAUUGAUACAUAUCAUUGGAAAUGAUAAAUAAGUUGAAUUAUGGUAUUAAAAUAAUUUUUUUUUUAAUAUUUUCUCCUGAAAAUAACAUUUAAACUUUGCAUCUCAAAUUUUGAAAAAAACAAAAAAAGAAAACUUAGUAGUAUAUAUAUAUAUAUAUAUUUUAUUUUUUUUUUUUUUUUUUGGUCAGCAACUUAGUAGUAUAUAUGGAAUAUUAAAAUUUCUAUAUGUCUCAAUCUAUACCAUGUUCAAAAUAGUCAAAUCAAACCGUGAUCUUGUGGUUGAGUUGAACCAGCCGGUAUUGGUUUAGAGUUCCC
rnacentral:lncRNA from 1 species